GUAAAUUCCAUCAGCGUGCCUGUAGGAGGACAAGACAGCCUGAACUGUGCACGAGGAGGACGGAGCAGGGGUGCAGACCCACACCUCACCCUUUCUUACCCACGUGUAUGACCAACAGUGCUUCUGUACAGAACUUCAAAACCCUUAGAGCUUCCUGAGAGACAGGAGUGUCUUCAUUACGCUAAUGAGUGGGGAAUUGAGAAGUUUGGAUCAGAGGAGUGAGGAGAAGAAAGUCGUGCCACAGAAAUGGAUCUACAAUAAGCAGGUGAAUCG